rnacentral:rRNA from 1 species
UACGGGGGGGGCAAGCGUUGUUCGGAAUUACUGGGCGUAAAGGGCUCGUAGGUGGCCAACUAAGUCAGACAUGAAAUCCCUCGGCUUAACCGGGGGAACUGCGUCUGAUACUGGAUGGCUAGAGUUUGGGAGAGGGAUGCAGAAUUCCAGGUGUAGCGGUGAAAUGCGUAGAUAUCUGGAGGAAUACCGGUGGCGAAGGCGGCCUUCUGGACAGUGACGUGACGCUGAGACGCGAAAGCGUGGGGAGCAAACAGG